rnacentral:rRNA from 1 species
UAGGGAAUCUUCCGCAAUGGGCGAAAGCCUGACGGAGCAACGCCGCGUGAGUGAAGAAGGUCUUCGGAUCGUAAAAUUCUGUUAUUAGGGAAGAACAAAUGUGUAAGUAACUAUGCACGUCUUGACGGUACCUAAUCAGAAAGCCACGGCUAACUACGUGCCAGCAGCCGCGGUAAUACGUAGGUGGCAAGCGUUAUCCGGAAUUAUUGGGCGUAAAGCGCGCGUAGGCGGUUUUUUAAGUCUGAUGUGAAAGCCCACGGCUCAACCGUGGAGGGUCAUUGGAAACUGGAAAACUUGAGUGCAGAAGAGGAAAGUGGAGUUCCAUGUGUAGCGGUGAAAUGCGCAGAGAUAUGGAGGAACACCAGUGGCGAAGGCGACUUUCUGGUCUGUAACUGACGCUGAUGUGCGAAAGCGUGGGGAUCAAACAGGAUUAGAUACCCUGGUAGUCCACGCCGUAAACGAUGAGUGCUAAGUGUUAGGGGGUUUCCGCCCCUUAGUGCUGCAGCUAACGCAUUAAGCACUCCCGCCUGGGGAGUACGACCGCAAGGUUG